GCAGAAGUUGACGGGCGCCAGGCCGGGCAGGUAGAAAGCGCCGCUCCGGCGCGGGCCAGGAACCGCCCCCAGCAGGAGCAGCGACAGCAGCAACAGCCGCGGCCACCGAGGUGGAGACAACACCGGCAGCCUCGCGCUCAUGAUAGUUGUUUCGGGGAAAGGGCAAUCAAACCUAGGGGGUCAAGAGGGAAGGAGGGGUGGGGAGUCUCGGAGACGACUACAAGGCCGCCAGAGAUAAAGGAAGCCGGCCCCCAGAAGGCUAGUUCCGGUUGCGCUAGGAGACACCCCGGGUCCCGCAACAGAAACCGAAGCGGACCGCAACAGAGCAUGCGCACCGCCGUCUGCACAUGCUCAGUGAGAACGGUCGCAGGCACCAGGAGGAGUUUCCGGGAGGGAGCGGGGGCGAAAUCCACUUUCCGGGUUUUCCGCGCGCCAGCUGAGGUGGUUGCUGGGAGAGGUGGUUGCUGGGAGAGCUGUUCCGGCGCUCACGUUCCAAUUCCAAAUUACAAAUUCCGAUCUAGAGCUCCCACGCUUGGGGGCUGUGGAGCGCUCGCCAGCCGCUCCCCGUUUGCUGCUGGGUCUUACGAAGUUCUCAUAUCCAUCAUACAGUUUCUUUGUCACACUGUCCGCGGCACGCCAGUCCCUAUGACAGAAAGCACCUGCGGUCUGUCUGGAGGCGGAGUUGGUGGCGGAGAGAAAAAGUUCUGGAGACACCUGGUUGGGAGCAGGCUAAGGAAACAAAUGGGGAGGAAUUAGCCACAAAUCCUCAAAUAGACAGCUACUCAAAGGCAUCUUCACGGACAAUUUCCAAGCAUUGGAUGCAGUGGUGCAUUCUUGCAUUGGGCAGUGAUUGUGUGCACACAUCUCUUUAAGGGAGAGUGGAAAUGGGGUGAGGAGGAAAAUGGGAGUAGGAUAGAGUGUAGCGUUGACAUUUAUUUUCUUUAAAGGAAGACCCGAGCAUACCUGAGAGCUCAGUGAAGAAAGUAGUUCUGGCGAAUCGGAUUAAUAUGCACCACUGAAACUUGACCUUCGGCCGGCGCGGUGGCUCACGCCUGUAAUCCCAGCACUUUGGGAGGCCGAGAUGGGCGGAUCACGAGGUCAGAAGAUCGAGACCAUCCUGGCUAACACGGUGAAACCCCGUCUCUACUAAAAAUACAAAAAAAUUAGCCGAGCGUGGUGGCGGGCUCCUGUAGUCCCAGCUACUUGGGAGGCUGAGGCAGGAGAAUGGCGUGAACCCGGGAGGCGGAGCUUGCGGUAAGCCGAGAUCGCGCCACUGCACUCCAGCCUGGGCGACUGAGCACGACUCCGUCUCAAAAAAAAAAAAAAAAAAACAAAAAAAAAACUUGACCUUCAUUAUAUCUCACUGCCCUCAUCCCAAACAUUUCCUCUCCCAGUUUUCCAGGAAACGGCAUCGCUGCCCAUCUCUUUUCAGGCCCCAACCCUGGAGAAGAACCUAAAUUUCUCAUUUCCUCACUACCUACCUCCAGUCCUUCAGCAGGUCCCGUUGGUUGGGCUGCUAAACUAUGGGCUAAAUCCUUUCAGUACUUUCCAUGCCCACAGCUACCACUCUGGUCCAAGCCAAAUUCUUAGUUCCCCUGGACUUCUUACUGCAGUAGCCUCUCAGCUUCCACUCUUGGCAAAAUCAAUUUUAUAAAACCUUGAAAUCCCUUAAUACCACUCGUCUGCUUAAACCUCGGCAUCCCACAUUUACCACUAUCAGGAAGGAUCACGUUUGUUUGUUUGCUGUCUCAUUCCCCCAUUUAUAUGUGAAUUCCACGGGUAAGGGCCUGCUCCUACAUCCCACACCUCUACAUCCACAGAGCCUAGAGACCGCAGGCGCGGGGAAAGCACUCCACGACCAUCACUGGCCAGGCCACAAGAGUGCUGGAUCUAAAUUUGGAACCGGACUUUCAGAGCUGAAAUAAACCUGAGGUUUUCCAGGGGCUUUUAACCUCCUUUUACAGCCAAGGAUGCGCCUAAGAAAGGGGAGAGGCUUCCGUGACUUCCUGCAGUAACGCAGCCACUAGAGAUUGAGACUACAACGACUUGGGAGUCUAAAAGUCUGCAACCUUUUCCACUCCAGAGCUCAAUGUUUCCUCAAUCCCCCGGGAUCGGCAUCAGCAAAAACCCGGAGAAGCGGAGCCUUUCUCAAAGAAAAUGACCUCCAGACUCAUGCUACCAUCUCGACCGGUGCAAGUAUCACGCAUGCGCAGGGCCGGCCGCCCGGCCGCACCUCGCCAACUCCUACUCGGACACGUCAUCUAGGUCGGCCUGGGUCUGGUGGGAGGGGCCGGGGGCGGGGCUCGUACGCGGGGCGAAGUGGUCCCCCUACUUCCGGAUCCGGCCUCACCUGGCCAACGCCUCAUUCGGGGUUCCUUGGUUACGUGGCUGCGGUGUCUACCCGGUGCUGGGGCGUGGCGGAGAGAGACCGCCCCGCCCUCCACGCAGGCCACAAAAUGGAGGCCCUGCCCUGUGGGCUUUUGUGGCCUGGGCGCUGUCGUGCCGAAAGACGAAAGUGACAAUUCCAGUUGCAAACUGGAAAGAAAUGGAGUUUUUCCUUCAUUCUCCCCAUGAUCGUGACGGUCCUUUUCUCAAAGUACUAAUACUUUUAAUGGGACUGUAAAACUUGAGGGAUAUGACUCUCUCCUCUCCUCUGCUUCAGAUUGCAUUUGCCAACUCUGAUUUACCGCCAAUACUAUGGUGCUGUCAUAUUCAUAGAGACAGAAAGUAGAGCAGUGGUUGUAGAGAGAGUCUGCAGAAGGAGGGAUGGGGAUUUACUGUUUAAUGGCAUACGGUUUCAGUAUGGGUUGGUGAAAAAGUUGGGAUGAAUGGUGAUGACUGCACAACAAUGCAAAUAUGCUAAUGUCACAGAAGUGUACACUUAAAAAUGGUUAGACGGUAAGUUUUCUAUUAUGUAUAUUUUACCACAAUUUUUUUUUAAAUGCAACAGAGUCUCGCUGUUGCCUAGGCUGGAGUGCAGUGGCAGGAUCUCAGCUCACUGCAACCUCCGCCUUCCAGGUUCAAGCGAUUCUUGUGCCUCAGCCUCCCAAGUAACUGGGAUUACAGGUGCCAGCCACCACGCCCAGCUAAUUUUUGUAUGUUUAGUAGAGAUGGGGUUUCACCAUGUUGGCCAGGCUAGGCUGUUCUCGAACUCCUGAACUCAGGUGAUCCGCCUGCCUUGGUCUCCCCCAGUGCCGAGAUUACACGCGUGAGCCACCACGCCGGGCCCCACAGUUUUUUGUUUUUGUCUUUUAAAUUUUUUUUAACAGCAUUUGUGUCUUUUUUUCUUUUUCUUUUGUUUUUGAAACAGAAUCUCACUCUGUCACCAAGCUGGAGUGCAGUGGCGCCAUCUUGGCUCACUGCAACCUCUGACUCCCUGGUUCAAGCAAUUCUCCUGCCUCAGCCUCUCCAGUAGCUGGGGUUACAGGCACGCACCACCCCGCCCAGCUAAUUUUUGUAUUUUUAGUAGAGAUGGGGUUUCACCAUAUUGGCCAGGGUGGUCUCCAUCUCCUGACCCCGUGAUCCACCUUGCCUUCCCAAAGUGCUGGGAUUACAGGUGUGAGCCACUGCACCCAACCUAAAUGGCAUUUGUUUCUUCCACUCCUCUCUGCCAGAAUAAUUUGGACAGCCUUUUCUGAGUUUCCCAUGACGACUUCUGUAUAAGAUUGUCGGAUAUAGCAAAUAAAAGUACAGUAUACCCAGGUAAAUUUUAAUUUCAGAUGAUCAAUGAAUAAUUUUUUAGUAUAAGUACAUUCCAACUAUUACAUGGGACAUAAGGGUAUUUUAUCUGAUCACCCUACUUUUGUGUCAAGUUAAAAUUAUUAGCAAAAGUGCUUCCGUUUUUAGGAAGUGCACACUGUACUCUAGUAGUUAGGCAGGAGAACAGGGUCUGCGAGCAGGGAACCUAAGGCCGUUUCACACUGACUUCCUAGAGCCAUUUGGAAAGGAAAACCCUAACUUUCCACUCCUAAGUAACAAAAGGCCCAGAGGCCACUCCCUUUGCAAACCCCCACCUUUUCUGUGCCGCAGCUGGAAAAUUGAAAGUGCCUCUGAUUGGUUGCUUUCUGCAACUAAUCAGAUGUUUGCAUAGAGUGUAACUUUGUAACUUCACUUCAGCCUCUGAUUGGUUGCUGUCCCCAACCAAUCAGACUGAUUGUGGGCCAAGGCUUCGUUUGAAUAGAAGUGCAACUUUGUAACUUCACUUUAGCCUCUGAUUGCAGGCCACCACUUCAUUUACAUGGGGUGAGCACCAAUGCGUUUUGUUCAAUUCUUUGUUCAAAACCCCAAGAAUCUGGACAACUUGCACUCAAGACCCUCUACGGGUUUGGCGAGCCAGAGACCAUCAAGCUUCAGAUGAUCAUGUGACAGGGUUUCCAGCCAGUUCCAGGUGAAGACACCACCCCUGGCCAUCAAGAAGUCACCCGGUCUCCACUAGACAGAGUAGGGUGAGAGUUCCGUGAUCUCCAACCGGUAGUGAUUAUGCCCCAAGUCAGCAUAAAGAAGUUACGGAAGAAAAACCAUCAGUCCCUCUGUCUCACAUAAAGACUUAUGGGGAUCACGUUUCUCAGAGGGGAGAUGAGGCAGGAGAAUAGGGUCUGGAGGCAGGGAACCUAAGGCCGUUUCACACUGACUUCUUAGAACUAAAUUGAAAGGAAAACCCUAAUUUUCCAUGCCUAAGUAACAAAAGGACCAGAGGCUACUCCCUUUGCAAACCCCCACCUUUUCUGUGUGGCAUAUGGGAAAUUGAAAGUACCUCUGAUUGAUUGUUUUCUGCAACCAAUCAGAUGUUUGCAUUGGAGUGUAACUUUGUAAUUUCACUUCAGUCUCUGAUUGGUUGCUGCAGUCUGGAAAUUCUGCAGGCCAAGUCUUCGUUUGCAUAGAAGUGCAACUUUGUAACUUCAUCUUAGCCUCUGAUUGGUUGCUUUCUGCAACCAAUCAGAUGUUUGCAUAGGCGUGUGACCUUUGUAACUUCACUUCAGCUUCUGAUUGGUUGCUUUCCACAACCAAUCAGACUGAUUGUGGGCCACCACUUCCUUUACGUGAGGUGAACACCAAGUGGCCAAUGGAAAACCUCAAGAGGGUAUUUGGACCUGAGAAGAUUCUGUAUCUGGGGCCCUUGAGCUGCUGCUCUGCCCACUCUCACAUGGUGGAGUGUAAUUUCACUUUGAAUAAAUCUCUGCUUUUGUUGCUUCAUUCUUUCCUUGCUUUGCUGUGUAUUUUGUCCAAUUCUUUGUUCAAAACGCCAAGAACCUGGACAACUUGCAGUCAAGACCCUCUACCAGUAACACUAGUUGUAUCCCUGUAAAUGAAUGGGCUUUGAAGAUUUUCUAGAAGAAAAAGAUCACCUCAUUGUCCUUCAUUUUUUGACAUAAAACUGUGAUAGCCCAAUAGAUAAAAUGUGAGUUAUCGAUCACCCCUGGAAAGGAUUAGGAUAUGCCACUCCAAAAUAUGCCACGUUUAUUUUGCACUGAAGGCAAUUGAGAAACAGUAGACACAGGAAGAGCUCUCUGCUUUUCCCCUUUUUACCUAAAAGCAGAGAAUAAAUUUCCUUUUGGAAAGAUGACAUACAUUUUCCUUUAUAAAGGUGUUCCCUUCUCCUCUACCAGGAAGAUCUGAGAUGGCACCAAAAUGAAUCUGCCUAACAAACCUUACUGCACAAUUCUUAGCUACCAUACAUUUCAUAGUCACCUUCCCAUAAUUUACUGCCCUUAGGAGCCCAAGUCCCUUUCCUUUGACUAUCACCUCUCCACAAUUUAUUGCCCUUUGUUAAAAUGAUAUAUAAGCUCCUUCAUUUAACUACAUCUUUGGGUUUUCACUUCUUAUCUUUGAUGCUACGAUGCAUGUAAAAAUAUUAAUAAAAUUUGUGUGCUUUUUCUCCUGUUAAUUGUAUGUCUUUUAUCAACUUAAAUUACAGGCCCCAAGUACAUAAUUAAGAGAGUA
rnacentral:lncRNA from 1 species